rnacentral:rRNA from 1 species
GAUGAACGUUGGCGGCGUGCUUAACACAUGCAAGUCGAACGAAGCACCUUAUUCUGAUUUCUUCGGAAUGAAAAAUUUGGUGACUGAGUGGCGGACGGGUGAGUAACGCGUGAGUAACCUGCCUCAUACAGGGGGAUAACAGUUAGAAAUGACUGCUAAUACCGCAUAAGACCACAGCACCGCAUGGUGCAGGGGUAAAAACUCCGGUGGUAUGAGAUGGACCCGCGUCUGAUUAGGUAGUUGGUGGGGUAACGGCCUACCAAGCCGACGAUCAGUAGCCGACCUGCGAGGGUGACCGGCCACAUUGGGACUGAGACACGGCCCAAACUCCUACGGGAGGCAGCAGUGGGGAAUAUUGCACAAUGGGGGAAACCCUGAUGCAGCGACGCCGCGUGAGUGAUGAAGUAUUUCGGUAUGUAAAGCUCUAUCAGCAGGGAAGAAAAUGACGGUACCUGUCUAAGAAGCACCGGCUAAAUACGUGCCAGCCGCCGCGGUAA